rnacentral:rRNA from 1 species
AUUGAACGCUGGCGGCAUGCCUUACACAUGCAAGUCGAACGGUAACAGGUUAAGCUGACGAGUGGCGAACGGGUGAGUAAUAUAUCGGAACGUGCCCAGUCGUGGGGGAUAACGCAGCGAAAGCUGUGCUAAUACCGCAUACGAUCUAUGGAUGAAAGCGGGGGAUCGCAAGACCUCGCGCGAUUGGAGCGGCCGAUAUCAGAUUAGGUAGUUGGUGGGGUAAAAGCCUACCAAGCCAACGAUCUGUAGCUGGUCUGAGAGGACGACCAGCCACACUGGGACUGAGACACGGCCCAGACUCCUACGGGAGGCAGCAGUGGGGAAUUUUGGACAAUGGGCGCAAGCCUGAUCCAGCCAUGCCGCGUGCGUGAAGAAGGCCU